rnacentral:rRNA from 1 species
UCUGGUCACAGGGGUCGGGGAGAGAAAGAGAGGGGUGCCGUCGCGACGUGUUCGCACGAGGUAAUAACCACAGGGGUCGCGGUAACGAGGAGAAGGAGGCGGUGGUUUGUGGUUAGUGAGUCGACGAAGAAGAAGUGGUCUCUCGUCUCGUCUCGUCUAGGUCUCAGUUCCGCCGCUUCCCCUCUCUGCCCCAGCCUCUCUCUACCGCCCCCACCCGCAACCCUGCCCCCGCUACUUGGAGGAGCCGUUCGAGUGGCGGAACGACCCGCUGCUCAUGUUAGAAGAGUUCGCCCAGGCGUUCCUCUAGGUCAAGGAACUCGCGCUCGAGUGGCCGUACGCUCAGAACGACCUCUCUGAUUGCCCGUACCUCCUCUUUGAGCUGUAGUACCGGUUCCCGACCUCUCUGUCUCACGCGCUAGAAUCGAUGCUGUAUCUUCUGACGUAGCUGGCGAAGUACCUGGCCGAACCGUCGCCGCUGCGGUUUGGUUUCAAGUACUUCUCCUGACGCGUAGCCGAGUUCUGAGACACCCGCGCGGUACUGUAGCGUUGGGUCUAGUUCCUCGAGUUCCGAGCGCAGUACAUCCUUUCACUCGCGGCACUGUCCAUGUUCGAACUUCUCUUAAUGAUGUCACGUUGCUUCUGCCACCUCUAUCUGGGCUAUUGACGAUAGGUACUCCUCCAGUUCCCGAACCACCGUUACCUGCCGGGUUACUUCGUGCAGUAACGGAACGACUACCUACUCUCAUUUCUCAACUUUCACCACGGCUAACAACCUAGUCCUCCCGACCCCUUCUGCUGGGACCGGUACCUUCAGAUAGCGUUCUAACGUAAUCCUCCUCUGAAGGUCACAGUUCGAACACACAGUCACAGCGCGUGUGAACUAGACCACUUCGAGGAGUUUCUAUAGAACAGAGUCUAGCUAUUUCUACGCAUGUUUCUAACAGUCUUAACCCUUUUCCUUGUCGAUUAGGCACUUUAGUUUGUAUAGAACUGUCCUUUCUCCAUGAAGUAACAAUAACUACUACAUACCUUUCUUGUUCUAACCUUUAACCAGUUCCGUCGUAAAGGACUGUUAUUAUUACCAUCAUCUUAUUAACGAUGAUGUGCUGGCCACUUCGAUUAGAUACAACAAGGUAUAGGUUACUCGUUGGUAUAGUUUACCGUGGAGAUCUACUACAACUAAGAGUUUCUAACAAGAAAUUCUCUUAAAAGAUGAUUUUACUAAGUACAGGAAGACUUGACUUUCUUCAGAGACGAUCCUAAAAUUUUUUUACACCGCCUGACGGUGACCGAUAUUAAUGUAAACGUUCAAACGAACGGUCAUUCUUUGUAUUGUUCCUACUUACCCUCUCUGACGUUCUAAGGUAACCAUGACCAAGAAGCAAACUAUUCCUACCCUUGAAUUUUCCCCACUUUCUAUAUAACAAUGUAUCAAUGGACCUAGAAGGGGUGGUGGACUUCUGAACAAAUGACAUGGACACGAAUAUAGGUCUCCUGAGGUACUAGUUAUAAUUUCACGACUUUACCUUUACCUAUCGUCUUCCUAAGUAACGAUGUGUUACCCCUUCAAACCUAGUUCAUCGUCUCUUGACAAAAUUACUGGAACAAUUAUCUUUAUACUAGGUCGGUCAAAUACCAUUAAUACUGUGAAGCCACUUUAUAACAUCCCAGGUACUAUACCACGAACUGGAAUAAUAUAGAAAUAGUCUGCUUCUCUUAAAACGUUGACAGAAUUUACCCGCACAUACGUUAAGAAAGGGUUUAUUCUAUGCAGCAGACAGGUACGUUAGAUCACCGUUUCUCGUAUUUCCCCGUCAACCCCGUUAAUGUCUCUGGUUCUAUGUACAAGCGAGUGACUGAUAGAAAACCGUUCAACUCGUCUACGGGGUGGAACACCUGAAGGUACGAAACGCCCACAACCUAGAACCUCUAACAUUUACCAACCUUUUGUUCGUACAUUUUGUAUAUCGAUCAAGCGCAGUCGACUCCAUAAACUCUUAACCGUGAAGAUUCUAAUGACUCGAAGGAACACUUUAACCUUUCGACGUCGUGAACCUCUGAGACCUAAACUCUAUGACAAUAAGUGAAGGUUCUGAAGGUAGUUGGCACCGCGUCAAUGCCUUUAACCACGCGGAUAAACAGUUAGCGUUGUGUGAUAACGGACGUCCACCCAAGGCAUCAGACGUGCGGAACCUCCUCAAUGCGAAGUACGUUUGGCUGCUGGAUCAUUCUAAACGCCUCCUUCAUUUACUCAGCCCGUUUACGUUGGAAGCCAUAGAAGCAUGACUAUAUCUCUGUCGGUGCGCAGACAAGACAUUGGGUACGAUGUGUAUGGGCACGGAGGUUCAAGAAUUUUAAGUCAGUCCAAAACCUUUCCAAGGGUCCCCUUACUGGAGGGAGCUCUUAGAGUACUUUGAUACGUAUCUCCAGUACCUUAAACUAUUCCUCCUAGAGGUUCAAGAGUACCCGUACGGAAGAGACCGAGUAGACCUCGAACUCUAUUGUUCUUCCCGGUAAUUACUUUUCGACUAGUAACCAUCACUGCCUAAGUUUGACGAUUUCCAGAAGACGAAGGCGAUAAGUGAGAAGGAAUGAGUACAAUGUCACUUUAGUGGCCCACCUGACGCCGAUUGUAAACGUGGUCCACGAUACGGUCGUGAGGCAACAGAGGCAGAACUGAACUCGGGUUACAACUAGCGUAGGCUGAAAAUACGUCUGAACCCACAGCUCGUAGAAGGUCCGGGACGUCUCGAGCUCCAGGUUUAGUUAACAAAGUCUCGUCGAGGUCCGUCCCACUUCCGAGACCUCAUAAGGUAACUCUUUCGUUGGUUGAACGAGGGGUUCACGUAUUAGGCACAGUCGUCUCAGACACUUCUAGUCUACAUAUUCCUACUGUUCCUCACCUGGUCUUUGCUCCCCGUUAAAAAUAAGUGAGGAUGCUCAUCGUUAAAAAAUAUUAUACAGGAUGUGGGUAGAACUUGUCGUCAAGCACCUAGGUUCAGUUCAUUACGUAGACCUCUUAGGUCAGGACGAUGAAUUAGACGUUUCAGACGUUAAGUUGACCGGUCGGUAGUCGUAAACCAAGGUUUUCACUGAGACAACUCGCCUAGUGUACAUGAGUUCCACUAAAUAGACAUCACACUCGAUCAUAAAAAAAAAGAAGGAUUUAGACAGCGGUCGGAGGGAGCAAACGACCCAACGAACUCAAUCUUGUCUGUAAUCAUCAUCUAUACAAAAAUUAAGCGACAACCCCUUCGAACACAACACAUCGUGGGGACUCAAGAUAAAUUGAGAACACCACCGUUUAGGUAUAUACAACAACAAACACAUGCUAAAUGCGUCCGGUUUGACUCGAUACACAGAACACACUAUAGAGACGUAAACUAACCCC